rnacentral:lncRNA from 1 species
UUGGGUCCCUGAACAAAUAUAAACAACAAUAGGGAUCCUCAUAGACGAGCUCAUUGCCAGAGCCGAAGAAGGGACUUCACCAGCUAUUCUCUUGGAUGCUCCUGCUACAGCAUGUGGCGGAGCUGCUGCUCCCCCUUUUCGUUUGCAUGGCGGUCCAUCAGCCCCGAGCUCCUUCCGGCUGCUGUAUGCGGCAUAGCUUCCGGAGCUUGCUAGCUCAUGCGUGUAC